GCUACUUUGCUGACGAGUGGCGGACGGGUGAGUAAUGUCUGGGGAUCUGCCUGAUGGAGGGGGAUAACUACUGGAAACGGUAGCUAAUACCGCAUAAUGUCGCAAGACCAAAGCGGGGGACUUUCGGGCCUCGCACCAUCAGAUGAACCCAGAUGGGAUUAGCUAGUAGGUAGGGUAAUGGCUUACCUAGGCGACGAUCCCUAGCUGGUCUGAGAGGAUGACCAGCCACACUGGAACUGAGACACGGUCCAGACUCCUACGGGAGGCAGCAGUGGGGAAUAUUGCACAAUGGGCGCAAGCCUGAUGCAGCCAUGCCGCGUGUAUGAAGAAGGCCUUCGGGUUGUAAAGUACUUUCAGUCAGGAGGAAGGGUGUGAAAUUAAUACUUUCAUGCAUUGACGUUACUGACAGAAGAAGCACCGGCUAACUCCGUGCCAGCAGCCGCGGUAAUACGGAGGGUGCAAGCGUUAAUCGGAAUUACUGGGCGUAAAGCGCACGCAGGCGGUUUGUUAAGUCAGAUGUGAAAUCCCCGGGCUCAACCUGGGAACUGCAUUUGAAACUGGCAAGCUUGAGUCUUGUAGA
rnacentral:rRNA from 1 species